rnacentral:rRNA from 1 species
GAUGAACGCUGGCGAGAUGCUUUACACAUGCAAGUCGUACGAGAGUUUUUAACUCAAGUGGCGGACGGGUGAGUAACACGUAAGAAUUUACCUUUAGGAGGGGGACAACAGUUGGAAACGGCUGCUAAUACCCCAUAUGCUUUCGAGUGAAAUGGAUUUUUCCGCCUAGAGAGAAGCUUGCGGCUGAUUAGCUUGUUGGUGAGGUAAUGGCUUACCAAGGCGACGAUCAGUAUCUGGUUUGAGAGGACGAUCAGACACACUGGAACUGAGACACGGUCCAGACUCCUACGGGAGGCAGCAGUGGGAAUUUUCCGCAAUGGGCGAAAGCCUGACGGAGCAAUCUCGCGUGAGGGAUGACUGCCUAUGGUGGUAACCUCUUUUUCAGGAGGAUUAAUGACGUUACCUGAAGAAUAAGCAUCGGCU